GAAUCUGAACGUGACGUCAAUGCCUAGAAACUGACGCAGCCCUUCAACAUAAAUUGGCUUUUUAUUUAUUUUUCCCUCUUCCUCUCCCUUCUUCUCAUCAGCAAACCGUAAUUACUAAAUUGUACAGCUGGUAGUGCGUGUUUGCUCGGACCUGUUUUGGCGUUCUCGAGUGCCACACUGGGACGAGGAGCUUUUGAAGAGACAUCUCGAACAUAGACGGUGAAAAUGGCAGCCUUGGCCAGUUGCAGAUCUGAGUUGUUGGGAAGAAAAGUGGCGGGUUUAAUCGCGGAGAGGGACGCGGUUCUGCGCGAAGACUCGUGUUUGAAAAAAAAUCUCUGCAAUGAUGCAACGGAGGGGACUCUGGGCUUUUAAGCACAGUUGAAGAAGCAGCAAUGUUGUUUUACUUUGCGCGCAGUUUACGCAGCGUUCCUUAAAUUUGACUUUACGAGUGUUUGGGUUUUUUAUAGUUUGCCUUCUUCACGCUGUGACCUAAAAAUAGCAUCAUAGUUUGGAUCGUGCGCCAGAAAUAGACAGACGGGUAUCACUUGUAUAAAAAAGGAGGCGAUGCUGGGCAAACUUGGACGUACCCCUUUUAGAGCAAGGACGAGCAUGAGCUACGAAGAGUCAUGUUGACUGAAAAACGGCGGUGGAGGCAGAAGAGGAAGAGGAUGUGGUGGUGAAGUGAAGGAGCUGUUGCUGCUGCAGAAACCAGGCGCACCGCAUGGGGAAACCCGGAAGCUGACCAGCAGAGGUGGUGCUGAAACCACACCAAAGUGGCAGUAGUGGGCUGUUGCUUCGUAUGUGUUCGUGCAUGUGUGUUUGCGCACGGGAGCUGGUUGGGGUUUCAGGAGAUUUGUUAAUUCCCCUGUUUGGAAACCAGAAUCGUUUUUUCCCGGAGCAUAUGCUUGAAGUUUCCUGUUUUGGCGACAAUUUUCACAAACAUGUUAUAUGUGAGAUUCUCUUGCGUAUGGUUUGAAUGGGAUGAAACUAAGAGACGGGGAAAAAGGGAUUCCAAAAGCAGCGACCAGACUUGUUUGAAUAAACUUUUCUUGUGCUUACGCGAGCCCCGUGAUUUCUUCCCGAAACUCAAAGCAGCUUGAGAUUCCCCAUCAUUUUCAAGCGAAGCAGCGUUGCCAUGGCUUUCAAUCAAUGUGCAGAUGUGUGACCAGUAACAACUAUGCAAUGAAGGCUUUAUAACGGUCACGUGACUAUGUGUUUUAGGAGCUCUCCUCAGUGAAACUGCUUUCUAAGUCGUUGCAAGAGACCGAAGAAGCUCUGUUCGCGUGGUCUCUACUCCAAAAUAGACGAGAUCACCCUUUCAGUAUCAGUGCCUGUUGGAGAAAUGACGAGUAUGCGACUGCACAGCUCUGCAGUCUAAAGGGCACGCGAGAGCGCGCUCACAACAGUCCGGUGAGUGCGCGACUUCAGCCAAAUUUCCCAGCCUACAGCGCACCAUCGAUGAAGUAACACAUCUACCGCCUGUCCUUGUCAUGCAGCAUCCAAAUUGCACGCCACUUGCGAUUCAAUACUCCAUCUAAGAAAGUACAAAUGAAAAAAAAUGUACACAGCAUCUUCGGCCAAAACGCACCAAAACCUUCACCAGGGAUCAGAUCUUGCCCAGUAAUGCAACGUCGGACGUGUAAUUCGGGUGAAAACAACACAGAUUACCGAGUCGUGACCGCCAAAGUGAGUGAUGUGCGCGUUGGUUGCGUCAGGAGAGCCAGUCACUGUGCAGUGCAGACGGUGGGUGAGAAUCGUGACUGACUAGGUUGCAAAUGAAAAGACCACCCAAUAAAAGACAGGGAAAAAAUACCCACAUUGGGAGGGGGUGCGCUUGAAGGAAGGGAGGGGUGGGAUGUAAGGAAAAAUAUGGGGUCUGGAGUCUGGGCUGGACCUUGGCACUAACCCUUUCCCUUCCCCUCCCCAACCUUUCCCACGGAGUCCCAAAUGUGUCGUUUGUCCCCUGAGCUUGUUUUUGCUUCCAGCCCUGCUGCUUGUUGGCAUGCUUGAAUGUAGUUUCACCAGUGAUCGUGGGGCUUAGUUGAUGGACGGAGAGAGAGAGGAGGAAGUUAGUUUGGAGGAGGGGGAGUGGUCGGGGUGAAGACUGGGGCACUUUUGGAUCGUGACCCGUCCUACCUUAAUACAGGACUUCUCCUUAGGGAUUCUUGACUUGUUUUGGGGACAGAGUUAGGCUUUCAGAAAAAAACCCUCAAAGGAACUGUUGCAGGUAAUAAUGAGGAAUAAAAGGCCACGACAAGAGAGCUAAGAUGUGAACGGGGUGUCUUGCGUGGAUCCUGUUGCAGCUGCAGCUGGAGCCCCUAUCGUGCGCCAGAGGAGAAGUGUCCCACCACUUGGAUGUAGUUACCCAAGGAAGACACUGUAUGACCUCCGUCUGACACCUCAUCCCUGUGUCCCCGCCCCAUCUUCACUCCUAAAACAGAAGCUGCCAUCCAAAACAAUGAAAGGCUUUGCAAACCUCUGCAUCCCAAAGGUGCUGCAGCUGCAGGAUUGCUGUCACUGGCUGAUGGAGACAGACUUCAGUUGUUGAAGACACGGCCAUGAUGUGAAGGAGGACACUCAAACGUGCAUUAGGUGUAUGAGUGUGUGCGUAUUGUAACAGAAGUAAAAUCAGAAUUUACAUUGCUUUAACACAAUCUGGUGUCAUUAUGUUUCAUAUAACUAGUCUGUAGUUUUUAAUUUAACAUUUCUAGAAAACAUAUGUCUUCAAUGCAUUUUUUAAAAUGUUGUAAUGCAUCAAACUGUGUACAGCAAAUUAUUUGUGUUGCAUUUAAUUGAAUGUAUUUUUUGGAUUUUUUUUUCAAAUAUUGCAUUUAUACUUUUAAAAGAUGUGGUGUAAAAACUGGAACCUUAACCUGAAAGCUCUUUCCCGAUGACACUAUUCGAUUCUUUCACUUCAGUCGAUGAAUGCGUGCAGAUGCGUGACGGCUGUCAGCAUGACAGCUGAUUUUUAUACUCUUGUCUAAAUGCUGAGUACAGGAAAGCGUUUGUUUUGCUGCUUGGGUUGUUGCUCUGCCUGCACGCUGCGUUUGGUUUGUCGGUGUGAGACAGAGACGGGGAGCAUGGCGACUGAUCGGCUGAGCUGGAGACUCAAAAUGCUCUUUCAAAAUCGCCUUUUUCUGGGUCGCAGUGAUGUGCGCAGAUCUCUGACAACUGGCUGUGCAAAAACAGCCGCCCCCUGUAAACAUGUUUAGCUCAGAAUGUGCGUGGAAAUGUAAAAACUCUGUCAAAUAAAGCGAUGGAAAUUUA